rnacentral:rRNA from 1 species
AAAAUGCGGAGCUACCAUGCAGCCGAGCGGUUACAUUCUUCGGAUUCUAGAGAGCGGCGUACGGGUGCGUAACAUGUGUGCAACCUACCUUUAUCAUGGGAAUAGCCUUUCGAAAGGAAGAUUAAUACUCCAUAAUAUAUGUCUUGGCUUCUGGUGAUUGUGAAAACUCCGGUGGAUAGUUAUGGGCAUGCGCAGCACUAGAUCGCGGGUGAGGAAACGGCUCACAUUGUCUAUGAUCCUUAUGGGUUCUGAUAGGGAGAUCCCCCACAUUGGUCCUGAGACACGGACCAAAUCUAUACGGGAGGCAGCAGUGAGGAAUAUUGGACAAUGGGUGAGAGCCUGAUCCAGCCAUCCCGCGUGAAGGAUGACGGUCCUAUGGAUUGUAAACUUCUUUUGUAUAGGGAUAAACCUAGAUACGUGUAUCUAGCUGAAGGUACUAUACGAAUAAGCACCGGCUAACUCCGUGCCAGCAGCCGCGGUAAUACGGAGGGUGCAAGCGUUAUCCGGAUUUAUUGGGUUUAAAGGGUCCGCAGGCGGACCGAUAAGUCAGUGGUGAAAUCUCAUAGCUUAACUAUGAAACUGCCGUUGAUACUGUCGGUCUUGAGUAAAUUAGAGGUAGCUGGAAUAAGUAGUGUAGCGGUGAAAUGCAUAGAUAUUACUUAGAACACCAAUUGCGAAGGCAGGUUACCAUAAUUUAACUGACGCUGAGGGACGAAAGCGUGGGGAGCGAACAGGAUUAGAUACCCUGGUAGUCCACGCCGUAAACGAUGCUAACUCGUUUUUGGGGCGCAAGCUUCAGAGACCAAGCGAAAGUGAUAAGUUAGCCACCUGCGGAGUGCGUUCGCAAGAAUGAAACUCAAAGGAAUUGACGGGGGCCCGCAGCAGCGGUGGAUUAUGUGGUUUAAUUCUAUGAUACGCGAGGAACCUUACCCACGACUUAAAUGCGAAAUGACCGGUGUAGAAAUAGACCUUUCGGCAAGAACAUUUUUCAAGGUGCUUGCAUGGAUAGUCGUCGGCUCGUGCCCUCGACGUGUUAAGAGUUAGGUUCAUGCAACGACCGCAAACCCCUGCCACUACUUGCGUAACAUUGCAGUGAGAGUUCUUAGUGAGACUGCCUUACUGCAGUUCAGACAGGCAGCUGAGGAUGAACGUCAAGAUCAUCCAGGACCCUUACGUCUUGGGUCGAGAUCGUUAUACGAAUGACCGUUACAAGUCAGCUUACACGUGCAAGUUAUGCCAGCUACAAACGCCAGGACUACGAUGCGCAGACUGCAC